rnacentral:sRNA from 1 species
UAUCUGCGAUAUGGAAGAUUCGAACCUGCCGCAGGUUCGGGUCGAACGCAGUGAGACAACGGAGCCGUUUACGGCGACGGCCCGAAGGGCGAGCGAAGCGAGUCAUCCUGCACGACCCACCA